GACCUCCUCUGCGCGGUGACAGGAGAUAUCCGAGAGGUGAAGUUCGGUGUGUUCAGCGCUACAGAACAACAGAAGAGACAGUGGUUGCGUUUCAUUUUUUCUGCGGUUCACGUUAGCUUGAAUGUGUGUGCUAACCACUUCACAUCGGACUGCUUCAGUAACGAGGGUCAGUACAAAGAUGGCUUUGUCUCAACACUGACCCUCGGGAAAGGAUCAGUACCAACCAUACCGGACCCAGCAACUGCACUUGAGCCACAGGGUGUGUGAAAGAGCUGCACGGGAUGGUGCAGUGGCAGAUACGAGAGGCGGAGCUGGUGUGUGAGUUUACAGGGAGAGGUAAAAACAGCAGGAAGUUAGUGACUGUGGUUUGUCUGCUUAUUUGACCCACUUAUCAACGCAGCUACAGCAAAGAGGCAAUUAAGGAUGCUGUUAUAUUUGAAGAGGGAGUGGGUCCUCUUCCAAGAAGCCCACCAUCUUUCUACAGCAGUCUAGAAGGGACAAACUAAACAUCGGUGCUAGAGAGGGCCUUUCCUGUUUUUUGCAUUAUUUUAGCGGGCCACUAGAGGGAGGAUGAAAUGAGGGGUAUUCAGUUGGUUGCAACCUGCAACCUCACUACUAGAUGCCACUAAAUCCUAUACACUUGAGCUUUAGACAGAUACCAUCUAAAAAAUGGGAUUGAAGUUGCAGCCCCAAGUGUCACUGUGGGCUGCAUAUUGCACUGCUGCAAAAUAAACAGCAACUUUGUGUAUAACUUUAGGACAAAUCAGAAAAUAUUUUUUGGAAUUUAAGUAAACUGACCUAAUUUACAUCAUAGAUAUUAGUUUUUAUCAAUUGCAGUGCAUCUGAGAUCCUCAUUAAGGCCUCUGGUCACUAAGGGUGAAGCUUUUUCUAGAUUUGAUACAAGGCCAUACGACACUUGAAAUGAAAAUGGACUUCCAGUCUUGUCCUCCAGCUUCAGCAACUCAGGUCUGCCAAGUUAGUGUCUCUUCUUAAAACUCACUUUUAGUUGAAGCCUUUCCCCAAACUUCCUUUCCUCUCCAUUUUUUAAUUAUUAUACUAUAUCUUAUCUUAUUGUAAGUUCUCGAUGCAAAAUUUCAAGUGUCUGGUGCUGCUAAACAUUCACUGCCAUCGCACUGUGCACAACGUAACUUAUCCCAGGCUGAUUUGAUUAAUCAUAUUACUUUGCUUAUGUGUUAAACCCUGGUCUGAUUGAUGCAGUUGAUCAGGCGGUUUGCACUUGUUCUUCCUGGGAAAAUGCUUGUGUUGGACUCAGGUUUUCGAAGUUGAACAGUUAUUGGACUUCACAGGCAAUUUCACUGAAACCACUCUUUCUGCACUUGUACCCCCCACCCUCUCACCCCCACUCAAGUUUUAUGCAGAUAAGACUGAAGGCUUUCCCCUCCCAGAGCUGGGCGGGUGCCCAGUAUGCAGGAGUUUAUCUGGCACACGUGUCCCUCCCUCCAUAUUUCACUUCUGGUUCUACUCUCUCUUUCUGAUAGCUUUAUCACUGCGGAGGGGUCAGAUGCUGACACCAGCAUAAGGGCCGCUUAAAUCGCUCUAAACAACAUCUAUCAUGGACCCUAUAAAAUAAGCUUCAUGGCACGCACAAUACUCUGGCCUCGUGCUUGAGAAUGCUCGUCCAUCAUAUGGCUGCUUGACUCCAGGAAGCCUUUUUUGAUGAUAUGUACAGGAUUCAGAAGUGGGAGGUUCUGAUUUGGCCCUAAUCAGUCUUUAUGAGUAAUUUCAGAUUAUAGACUGCAUGGGAGAUCUAUCGUUCUUCAGGAGAGACAGGUAGGCUGUUUUGGAGGUGAUGAAUGGCACUAGCCUACAGUUCUAUUUAUUGAUCGGGAUGAAGCUUGAUAUCAGACCCUUUUGGAAAGAAAAUCAUAGAAAGGCAGUGAUUGUUGUUCCUAAAUGUCAAAGACAUGGCAGUGGAAAGGCACUAGGUGCAAACGGGAGGGCAGACGGGCACUAAUUGACUUUGAUUAUUGGCCUAAUAUUAUGACAUGCUGACAGGCUGCUUAUAACGUCUUAGAAAAGCCAAAACAAAUGGGAAGCAGGUGCCUGAAUGGAGAGAGAAGACGCUGUUAUGGCCCUUAAAUCACAACAAUCCUGCAGGCUGUUCGGCAACCACUAGAUUAAUAGCUGGAUGCUAACAGAUUGCAGCAAAUUGUUAGUCCUCUGAGGUCAAAAAACGAAAAGAAAAAUGAACAUGUAAUAAAAAGGGAAAAGCAGCUUUCUGUGCUGUGACUAAUUUUCCUGUUUUGACAGUCUCAAUGUGUAAAACAAAUGUUAGUAUAGCUAAUUCAUCAGGGCUAUUUUGACUGGCUUACAUAAUUAAACAUUUCAGAUAACCGUAGCAGCCGUUUCUUUUGGUUUUCUUCUCCUAUUAACAGCUUUUACUAUGGUUUGUUCACUCCUGUGGCAACAGUGUUUUAAGCUUUCCAGCGUUAAGUGACUAUUCUUUGGAGCAGCCCAUCACUUCGCUGAUUAAACACAGGCAUUUGGCAGGAUAGAAGCGCCACUC